rnacentral:rRNA from 1 species
UGGGGAAUUUUGGACAAUGGGCGCAAGCCUGAUCCAGCAAUGCCGCGUGAGUGAAGAAGGCCUUCGGGUUGUAAAGCUCUUUUGUCAGGGAAGAAACGGUGGAGGCUAAUAUCCUCUACUCAUGACGGUACCUGAAGAAUAAGCACUGGCUAACUACGUGCCAGCAGCCGCGGUAAUACGUAGGGUGCAAGCGUUAAUCGGAAUUACUGGGCGUAAAGCGUGCGCAGGCGGUUUUGUAAGUCUGACGGGAAAGCCCCGGGCUCAACCUGGGAAUUGCGUUGGAGACUGCAAGGCUAGAAUCUGGCAGAGGGGGGUAGAAUUCCACGUGUAGCAGUGAAAUGCGUAGAGAUGUGGAGGAACACCGAUGGCGAAGGCAGCCCCCUGGGUCAAGAUUGACGCUCAUGCACGAAAGCGUGGGGAGCAAA